AUAUGAAAUAUGAUGUACUUUAGAUCUAAAAAUAAAUACUCACAUCGAUCUCAUCGAUGUUAAAAUUCUAGAUCUAACUAUUAAAUCUCAAGAUAUAAUCAAGAUAGGUUAGAAACAAUUACCAAACCAACUAGAUCUUGAUCUCCUCUAGUCCAACACUUGGAGAGGAUGUUCCUUAGGUCACUCACAGCCACACAAAGUCGUCUGAUCUCUAUAAGAAAAUCAACGCAAAGACUGGC
rnacentral:lncRNA from 1 species